GCAGCAGACACAGAGCCCUUCUUAUUCUCCGCCUCUCUCUAGUUUUUUUCUCCUUUCUUAGUAAAAUUUUGUAGUUGUGUUUUGGGGUUUUAGAGGCAAUGAUGACAAGUUACAUUUCUCGAUCCUGAUUCGAUUUUGCUUUUAUAAGGACCAAAGCAAAUAGAUUUUAAUUUGAUGACAGCAUUUGUGCGUGUCUGAGCCAUUAUUGAAUUUGUUUUUGAUCAGAUUGAAAGAUGAAUGAAGUGGGUGUUGCGAUGAUUAUAAGAUAAUUCCUCGUUCUGAAUGCGUAUAUGCAUGACAGACUCUUUUACACCCAUAGAAUAUGAGCUCUCCCACUUCAAAUUUUGAUCUUCUUUCUUUUGAUUUUUAGCAAUGGAACUUGAUAGCAAUUGUUUUUGUUCUAUAUUUCCUUAUGGCUUUGGGUUUUUUUUAUGCUAUUAAAUUAAACAAUGAUUUUUCAGAAAAUGUAAAGACUGUAUAUUUUCUUUAUUGCUUCGAAUCAUUCUUGCCAAUGAAUCCGAAUGUAAUGCAUAAAUUGGACGACUGAAAAUAUGAAGUUGCAACUUGGAAGCAGAAAUAAUUCUGUGGCCGGAUAGAUUUUUUGUUUUUUUUUUUUCCGAAAAUUACAUUAUGAAAUCAUUUUUAUUCUUUGUUUAUCUCAACAAUGAAUUUACUCCACCUUUUCAGUAGCCAUUAAAAAUUUAAAUAUAUGUUUGUUGAAAUGAUUAGAUGGAGGGCUUAAUCUGAAUCAAGUAACGUCCAGAAAGGAAUUUUGUAUUCACUAUAAAAUUGGUUUGAAGUAGUUUGGCUUAGUUUUCUGGGUACUAAAAUCAGUUUUUUCUUCUGCUUAAAGCUUUUGAUGUUUAAGAAAUAUGCGGCUUGCUCACUAAAUCAGUAAUGGUGAACAAGUUGGUAAUCUGUCAAGCUAAAUUUAGAUUGCUGGGAUUCAUUGGAGACUUUCCUGCUCAUCGACAUGUCAAGGGAAGUAGGUUGGCCCAUUGUGCAGGUUGUCAAGGGUCUUAGAUCAAAACCUGUGGGCUGAUUUGUUGAGGGUUAAUGAAGGCGCGAUUUAAGGGGUUUUGGGUUUGCCCGCACCUUGCAAUCUUAGUGAGCUGGCAAGGCUUGCCAAUUGACAAAUUUAGGUACAAUUUGACCCUAGGCAUGACAGGCCAUUCUAGACCCAGCCCAAUUCGGUGCUGUGUCUACCUACCUUGGAAUGGAGGAACAAUUUGUUUAGACAAUAAAUCAAACGGCCAUUCAGAAAGGACGGGGUGGGUUGUAGAAAAGAGCAAGAAUAUAUUGUGGAAUUUGGUCUUUCCUGGAAAAGAGCAAGAAUAUAUUGUGGAAUUUGGUCUUUCCUGGAAAAGAGGAAGAAUAUUCACCUACUUCUCUGUGAUUGAGAUUUUGAGAGAUCAACAAUUCAUUCUACUAAAUCUUGCAGCCCAUUUUAUGACACUAAAUAUCAUGCUUGUAAAAGUACGUGAAUUGCAAAACAUGUUUCGUAUCCGACAUGUUUCAAACAUAUAAUGCCCAAAUGUAAAAUUCAUUCUUACAUUUCAA